CCCUCAGGUAUCAGUUAUCAUGCUGAUUUGUAAGAUAGUUAAUUUUGAACUCACAGCUAGGCUCCCCCUUUAGUGGCAUAUCAUGCUGAAAUUUUGGUUGUCAGUCCAGGCUGGUUGUGGAAUUUGUCUUCUAGUGGUAUCUGCAUGUUAUCACCGGUGUUUUUGCCUUUUCGUAUUGAAGGGUUUAGAUGGUUACUUUUAUUCGAGCCCGACUGUUCUGGCUCCUGAAGUGUGUACCAGAAUUGCGAUCUCAAAAGGACUAAUCAAUGCAAAUCCCAUCUGACAUAAGACGGCCAUGAUCAGCUUGUUCAGAUCGAAAGAAAUGACAAACAUUUUAGGAGAUGGUUCUAAAUACUGGACUUGGUGACUGAUGUCCCUUAAAAGAUAUUGUGAUGCCACACCAUUUGAUGUGACAGGCCUUGACUAAAUGCAAUCUAGAUGUGCUUUACAUGACAAUUAUCUGGGAAGUUUUGUCAUCAGUUCGAUGUGUUCUUGGUCUAAUUCUGGAAUUCAAAAUGAUAAUCUGGUUGGCUCUCAUUGUUGGUUGCUCACUUUGCUCAGCUGACACCCUGAUCAACGUCUACUACAGACUUUUGGUGAAGUUGUGACAGUUGCCUGGAUUCCUCCUCCAUGGGAUAUUUAUGGUACUAUUGUCUCCCUGAGACACCGUCCUUGUCUGUGACUAUCAUUUUGUUUAUAAAUCAAGACUAUGACAUCAGUCCCACAUCCAAAAUAAUAGCUUGAUUUGUGUUUAAAGGUACUUUUCAUCUUGUCAUUGUGACUUUUCAGAUUUUGUACUGAGUAUGAACACUGGCUUGUACACUGUGGUGUAGCAGAUCAGAUAGUCCCUUGAGCUGAAGUCCUGGUACUAACCAGAUCCUUCUGGAUUAAUAAAGACAAUGAGCACAGCCAACCAUGCAAGGAUAUUUUAGUAUAUACCGUGGUGGGCAUGACAAUCCAGGCACAUUUGAUUUAUAAUGCAGCCAGGCUUGGAUUUCAAAAUACUGAUGGGUGUUGUGCAAAAUAUUGAAACAGACUGUAAUUUUCAGUAGCGCCGCCUAUGUACAAUCCGACGUAUCAAUCACCCUUGACGGCCAUCUUGAAAAAUUAUUGUAAAUUUUUCUCAGAAAAGGCAGCUAAAAGAUCUCGAUUUCCUUCUCUAAUAUUUCGUGCGAGGGAAAAUUGUCACGCAAUAUGUCAUUUAGGGGUGGUAGAGGACUACCACCAUCAUCGAAUGUGUAUGUUGGGAACCUCCCUCCCUACGUUCGGGAGGGUGAUUUGGAGGAAGUUUUCGAUGCGUAUGGCCACAUCGUCAAAAUCGAACUGAAAACUAUGCGGGGACCACCGUUUGCAUUCAUCGAGUUCGAGGAUCCAAGGGAUGCUGAAGAUGCAGUGCAUGAUGGGAAUCGUUUGGUCAUGGAAGGAUUCCGCUUGAAAGUGGAGUUUCCGAAGGGCCCCUUCAACAGCCGUGGCAGAGGUGGUUUUCGUGGUGGCUUCGCUGGGAGGGGGCCACCCCGGAGGUCCAUGUAUAGAGUCACAGUAACUGAUUUACCACCAUCGGGGAGCUGGCAGGAUUUGAAGGACCACAUGCGUGAGGCUGGAGAUGUCCUCUUUACUGAUGUUGACAGCAGCUGUAGGGGUAUUGUAGAGUUCGAAAAAGCAGAUGCCAUGAAUUAUGCCAUAAGAAAUCUUGACGGGUCCAGGUUUACAUCUCAUGAGGGCGAAGAGUCUUAUAUUACUGUUAAAGAGGUGUCCGAUGAUGGGUUUCGGUCGAGCAGUCGACACACUUCAAGUUACGAUUAUAGGUCCCGAAGUCGCAGUUGUGACAGAUACUGCAGAACACCACUGUAUUCGCCAAGAAGGACAUUCAGGCAAUCUAGGUCGCGUUCUCGAUCAUGGUCGGGCAGUCCUUAUCGAAGGUGAUGCCACUGAUGAUGUGUGGUGAACCAAAGGAGUCGCAACAUCCAGCUUGGACUGACUAAAUCAAAUGUGGUAUUCAUCAACUCUCAGUAAGAGACUAAAGAUGUUUACGUUAUCUUGGUAUGUCCACGAUAUUGGACUCAUCAUCAGACAAUCUUGGACCAAAUCUCUGUUUAAAGUGAAAUCAUGUUGUGAUUGCAAUGGGUUGGUGAAGUUAAGUGUUUUAGUAUAAUAACCACGCAAAAAGGUACUGCGCAGAAUGAUUUUUAUUAUGUGCUUGUAAAAAAUGUCAUUAGUUUGAACUUUGACCAAUUGUACGCAAUACUGGCAGCAUCACCCUCACCAUGAAAGGAGACCCUGUGUAUAAUACAGUACAUGCACCAUAGAAACCGAGGUGUGUUGAAAUACCUAAUAAUCAAUGAUAUAUGUAAUUUGCAUUGUAUGUUGUGUUUUGCUCCAUCUAAUUUAUCUUUGUUUUAUUAUUUCCCAGAUAUCUGAACGGUUAAUCUUUAUGGCUAAUCGGGAUUUAUGGAUUUAUAGGGAUCAUUUGGGAUUAACCGGAGUGGAGUUUGGCUGGUCCAAAGAAAUUGGAUGAUAAGUUGUAUAAGGAUCAGUGGAGCUUGGAUAUCCAAAGAAAUUGGAAGAUAACAUGUAUAAGGAUCCAGGAUAUUCCUGCUAUUGAUUAUGGAUAACCUGGUUAGAUUUUGGAGUGGAUUUUUGGAUAGGAUUUUCUACACUGUAUAAUCAUAGAAUUAUCUGGAUUUUGGAAUGGGAUGGUAGCUCAGUACUGUCAUUUGGAACAGGUCUGGAAUGGGAUCUAAUUUUGGAAUGUUGGAAUUGAUUAUCAGGGGAUUGGAACACAAAAGAUAGAGGAAUGGAAAUCUAUCACCUUGGAGCUUGCUCCAGAGCCCGGAUUAAACCUAGAUCGUCUCCUGGAUUUAAUCUGGACCAGAAGGACAAGGGAUCAAUCCCAUCACUGUAAGAUUUUCUCUUAAUUCUUGGAGAGAAAUAUGACUGGAGCACGUCCUUGGAAACCGGGCAUUCAUUUGAGAGGUUUUUAGGUAUUUUUGUGAGAGGGGGAAAGGGGGCAUUAAGUGUGAAAAUUGGAAUUUAAGUAAAGGGUUGUAUGACUGGAAUCUUAUUCGUUUCCUACUUCACAUUAAGAUUUACAAUCUUUCCAAGCGUAUUUUUUUAUUUUGCUGUUGUGCAGUGCAAGGCCACUUCUACAGCCAUUUUACAUCCAUUCAGUGUAAAAAACAGAAGUUCUCAUUCAUUAUAUUCAUGUUGCAAAAGAAAUGACAAAAAUAAUCUCCCUGGAGAUCAGUAAAUGAUAAUGCACAGACUACUCAAUGGGGUGAUUAUGGGAACUUUCAAAAUGUGUUUUAACCUUUUGGGGAGAAGAGUUCUUUGGAUGAGCGAGAAAAGUUCUCAGAAAAUUUGUUUCGGAUUUUAAAUCUGGCGUAACGACGAUUCAGUGGAUACAUUUGUUUGGUUAUGUUAGAAUUGUAGGAAGGAGUUGUUCAGAAUUAUGUGUCUGCAUACUUGUUCCUUUUGAAUAAGUAAGGAAACCUUUUUUUGGAAGUCAUUUGGAUCAAGCUGGAGUCCUUGUGGGUUACUGCAGGCUUCUUGCCUAUUACUUACAUGUCUCUUUGCCUGAGGAUGAAUGAUAUUUUGCCUAAAGAAGUAAUUUUGGAUGCAAUAACCAGUGGAUUGUUGGUCAGGUUAGGAGCAGGAAAUGUCAUUUUGGGAUAAGGACUCCUGAGGGACAUGCCUUGUGGCAUUCUGUCCCCAAGUAUCAUGUCAUGGAUCAUUUUGUGAUGAGUCAUGGAAUCCUUUAGGAUCAAUCUGGGAAUCAUUUAGGAUCAAAUCGGGGAAUCAUUUAGGAUCAAAAGGGGAAUCAUUUAGGAUCAAAAGGGGAAUCAUUUUUGAAUCAAAUCGGGCAAUCUUUGGAUCAAACCGGGAAACCAUUUUAGGACCAAAUUGGGAAACAUUUAGGAACAGAUCUUGGAAUCCUUUUAAGAACCAACAAAUUUGUCAGUUCUCUUUGGAUAAAAUAGGAUACACUUUUGGAAAAGGAUUUUGGGAUUCUCUAAAUCAUGUCGAUAAAAAAAGGAAAGCAUUUUAGGAAAUUUUUCAUUGAGAUGGUAUUUCAGUAGGAUACUUAAAUAGUCAUGUCAAUAAACUUUGGAUAUCUGCAUAUUUAUUGGUUGGCGUUUUUGGAAUAGGAU